rnacentral:lncRNA from 1 species
UUUCAGUUAAAGAGAUGAAUUAUACGAUAACCAUAUACCAAUAGAUUCUUGAAUGUUGCUUUGUAAUCUUUCGACUUAUCUGGACGUCGGCUACCAUUGCUAGAUGAUCACUUUGAUUGGUAUAGGGAGAUUAUUUCUGUGCUACCAGCUUAGGUUCGAACCUAUGAGGUCACAUUUAAAAGAAGUCUCUAACUAAUCAUGUGGC